UUGUGAAACAGUGUAUUUGUACAUUAUGCUACUUUACUUCCGUUUUUAGCUACAAAUUUCAAAGCACGUUCUCGUGUGACACAUCAAGAGCACUGUGCUAUGCUCGAAAGUGAAUGCCCCGAACAUGUCGCAACUACUUAUGGCGAUUCAAUCCUGAAUACAUCACUGAAUACAUCACGUUACUGAAGGGCUACCUCCGGAUUGCAUGCAUGACAUUCUUGCAUGACAUUCUUGAGGGAACGCUGCAGUUCGAAAUCAAGGAACUGCUCAGGUCAUUGAUUGCUGAAAAACAUAUCAGUUUGGAAGAUGAACUCUUCGCGUAUGAUCCCUGCAAGCCCAGUCCUAUUUCACUCUCUGAGACAGUCUACUGUUGUUCAGUGUGAAAAUUUUGUGUGGCAGCAUCUCAGAUGUGGUGCCUGGCCCGGUUGCUGCCACAGUGACUCUAUUCCAGAAGGUGAAUGUCAUUGGAAGAAUUUUUUGCGGCUGUUGAAGAUUGUUGAUUUGGCCUGUAUACUGCUGCCUACCUCACAUACCUCAUUGAAGACUAUCUGCUAACAUUUAAGGAGCUCUUUGCAACAUCAUACCUAAGCAGCAUUACAUGGUCCACAUUCCCCAAUGGUCAGUAUGUUUUGUGCUUCAUUGUACAUGAUCAUGUAGGUGUGGGCCGAUGACAAGAUAUUGGUGCAUGCGGUUUGAGGCAACCACUUCAAGGAUAUUUUUGGAUCCCCAAAUCAAUAGCAUUAAGGCAUCAGGGUUAGUCCUGUUAUACCAAUGCUAGUAUUGUAGGAAACGGAAAUGCGUUCAGCACUGGCCCAGUGAAAUCAGUUGAAGUUGACGAACUGCCAUAAUUAUGCUUUACAGUUAACAGUUUUGUCUUGCUGUGCCAGCUAUUCAAACCUCCUGGAUCAAAAUAACGUGUCGUCGUCGUCUCCAUUGUAGAAUCUACCUGUAUGCCAGUGUUUGGAAAAAUCUUAUCCAUAGUUUUUUCAGAAGUCACAAAGUGCCACUUUGUUGCUCGAAACUGACUCGAAACUGACUCUUUUAAUCCCCACUUUAAUGCUUAUGAAGCCAACUCCAAUAACUAUUUGUUGUCAAACAGACUUAAUUGAUCAUCAUGUUUUGGCCAUGUAUCAGGUUUCUAAUUUUCAUUUGGUACCACUGAAGUAUUCUUUACCUGGGUGUAUUCUUUACCUGGGUGUUAAUUUCAUUGAAGCAUAAUUUUGUGCUGCAAUUCUACACUUCAAGGUAAGUAGUUUAGAGCAGUUUAGAGCAGAAUUGAACCAAUUGUAUUUAGUUGUCAAAGCCUGGUGUAAUUUUUACCAACUACAACCAAAAAUUGGAAAUUUUGUUUUGAUGCUGCCAAAAUGGAAAUGUCAGUGCAUUUGCUUUCCUCUGCAUUUGCUUUCCUCACCAUAUUUUUGUGAGUGCAUGUAUCUAUGAUAAUAAUUAAAAGGAGAGUCGUCCCAUGUAACCACCAAACUACAUCCGAUUAGUUUUGUUUAUUUCAAUAUUUAACUAGACUCUACUCCGUAACAAAGUAAUAAACAUUACGAAAUGUCAGUGAUCGCAUUAUACACAGGCCCUCCCCUCAAUGUCUGAAUCAGCCACCCAAGGCAAAGGUGACGAUUUUAUAGUGGCCUUGUAUAUGAACUACAACAACAGGUGAACAAUAAUAUUUGGUGGAACUUGCUAAGUUUAGAGAGGUAAACGCAGCUGGAAGAGUCGUCGACGUUGAUGGAAUUUGUGACAUUUUAAAGGACCCUAUAACAGGAGUGAACACUUAAUAUAACAAUUGCAUGUGUACUACACACAUUUGUAUGUAGUCUCUUCUGACUUUAAGAU